AUCUUUGUGCAGUGGCAGUAUCAUAGCCUGUGAAGUUGAGCUGAGGCGUGAUUUUUGCUAGUUGAAAACUUUUCCCAAUACCCUGCCCUAGCAGCUUGCAAUAUAGCUGUGGUGGGCAAUUUUUGGCAGCCUCUGUAGAGG
rfam:Alligator mississippiensis ScZkoYb_84.2, whole genome shotgun sequence.